rnacentral:rRNA from 1 species
CCUACGGGUGGUUGCAGUGAGGAAUCUUGGUCAAUGGGCGUAAGCCUGAACCAGCCAAGUCGCGUGAGGGAUGAAGGUUCUAUGGAUCGUAAACCUCUUUUAUAAGGGAAUAAAGUGUGGGACGUGUCCUAUUUUGUAUGUACCUUAUGAAUAAGGAUCGGCUAACUCCGUGCCAGCAGCCGCGGUAAUACGGAGGAUCCGAGCGUUAUCCGGAUUUAUUGGGUUUAAAGGGUGCGUAGGCGGCCUUUUAAGUCAGCGGGGAAAGUCUGUGGCUCAACCAUAGAAUUGCCGUUGAAACUGGGGGGCUUGAGUAUGUUUGAGGCAGGCGGAAUGCGUGGUGGAGCGGUGAAAUGCUUAGAUAUCACGCAGAACCCCGAUUGCGAAGGCAGCCUGCCAAGCCAUGACUGACGCUGAUGCACGAAAGCGUGGGGAUCAAACAGGAUUAGAUACCCCAGUAGUC